ensembl:lncRNA
GAUACGGAAGUGGCUGGUGUGGUGUGGAUGUUGUGAUUUACGGGCUGCAACGGAGAAUCCAAGGAAAGGGGAGAUUGGAAGUGCGGAGGAAGUUAAGUGAUCAACCUUUUGUAUGUUGUGUUUACACCUUAUUGUGGAUUGAGUUGAAGGAGCGAUCCUAUGUUUGGAAGGCCCCUGAGUGAAGGAGAUCAUUGAAUUCGUAUUGGGAGAGGACAACACUGUGUACUGGUGGGUGAAGACUUUAUGAACAUUCCUUGUAUAUUGUGGAGAGUGGAUGACGGAUGUGGAGGGAGACUAACUGCCUUUAAGAAAGGGUUCCGACUGCAUAUUUCUCCGUAGCAGUGGGUAAUUCCCCCCCCCUCUCUUGUGUUGAUCUAAUAAUCCUCAGUGCUUGUGUGUUUACUCAGUGUUGAUAGUAGUGCCUUGCGUUGGAGAUCGCUGGGAAAGACGGAGAGACUCCGGUGUACGAUAUAUACGCCUGCUGUGGUCUGCCCCCUGCCUUCGUCCAUCUGACACGCCCCGCCAGGACUCUGAGCCCGAAACGGGAAUACACCACGGAUCUUCUUUCACUGAGUGUGUGGAGUGCGGUGAGUGCUGCUAUAUUGAAGUGUACACACGAGAAGAAUUGUAGUGCCUUUGUGGUGUGUGGUGUUUGUCCGUGGCUGUGUCCCCGGUCGUAGGAAGAGGCCUGACAGAGAGGAGCAGUGUAUUGGUGGCAACCACAGUCUUUACCUUAAGUAAGCUGGAGCUUGGACGUGUUGGAGGCGCCUCUGGAGGAGGUUGGAUGACGUCGCCCACACAGCGAUCUCUGUAAGCUUUUAAAUCAAAGCCUUACCCUUUCAUCCACGUGACGUUGUGUCAUUGGCCUUGUCAGCAACCACCGGCCUUGUGCAUGUCGUCUGUGCUGUCUCUUCGACGAGGGAAGCGAAGGACAACAGCCGAUCCUCCCCCGUGUGCCCCCUUGCCAAGCUGGGCGGGAAGCCCAGUAUUGUUUGCAGUCUCACCUGUAAGGCCCACCAGCCGUCAGUCAUCGACCAAACCCGUAUCUGCUUGGAAUACCGACCUCUGAAUAUCUUCAGUGAACCCCUGCACGUUAACAGCCCAGCCCUGUGAAUACCCACCCGUG